AAUUACAGAUAUUGCCUCUUAUCUUAUCACAAUUUACCGGUAUUUGUGCAAGAUUUACAGAAAUGAAAGUAAGUUGUGACCUAUCAUGUGAGUUGAACACAGUGGCGCAGACUUCCUGCAGUAUCCUCCCCCUGUGCUACUGGCAGCAGAAACCAGCUUGGGCAGAAACAGUCAUGUCAGUGGCAGUACUUCUAGUGGCAGGACUUAUUGUAGAUAUACACAAUUUCUCAUGAACAGGUGCGGUCCAGCAAAGUGAAAGUGAAAGUAACGUAUUUCCCCUAAAUGAAGUCAAAGACUGCUUUGCAAAUAAAUUUGCUGCAACUGCAAAUACAUUCUGUUUCAAUGAAGAUUGUGAGAGCAAAAAGCUGAAGAAUGCCAUUGUUCCAUGUCUGCUACUCGGCUAUGAUCUUAUUUACCAAGACUCUUCUUACCAGUUAAAGGGAGAUUCCAAUGUCAGACGUAUGGCUCAUUGUGCUGUCGAAAAAUGUGCAGAGGGACUGAUAACGAGCCAUGGAACCAUGGGAUUCCUCUCAGGUUGGGGGGAUUCUGUCUACUCUUGUCUUGUUGCCAUGAGCAACUGUGUGAAAACUGAACCCAAAUUCAAGCUCAAAACUGAAUUUUGAUUUAUUAAGCCAUUACAUCACAGUGUUUGUAUUCUGUCAUUGUACUAAAUUUGUAUGCCACUGCAUGACUUUUCUAUAGGUUUCAUUGGUCUGUAGGUGUUAAUGACAUUUUGGAGUUUUUCUGUGUUUUUCCCUGUAUAAAAUGAUUAGUUGAUACUGACAUGAUCAGAACAUAUUCCCUCAGGUAUUCUGAUGCUGAAAAAUAUCAAAUGAAAUUGUGUCAGAGUCAGCCAAUAGAAUUCACCAUUAAUGUAUGAAAACCAUAACAAAAUGCAUUUCAGUGAAGUGAUACACUGUGUGAUUCACUUUGAGUGAGACUGUAUGAAAUAUGAGUGGACACUAGAUGGCGCUCUAUUUCUCCAAAUGAACAGAGUGAUUCUGAAUGGUCCUGGAAAUUGGUUGCAAGAAAUUAAAGAAGUUUCUAUUAAGGGUAAAGCACAUGACUUGGGUCUCUUUAAGUUCUUUCCAAUAAGUUUUGCUGGCCUUUUGAGUA